rnacentral:rRNA from 1 species
GUGUCAGCAGCCGCGGUAAGACAGAGGGUGCAAACGUUGUUCGGAAUUACUGGGCGUAAAGCGCAUGUAGGCGGCCAAGCAAGUCGGGUGUGAAAGCCCAGGGCUCAACCCUGGAAGUGCACUCGAAACUGCUCGGCUGGAGUCUCGGAGAGGAUCGCGGAAUUCUGGGUGUAGAGGUGAAAUUCGUAGAUAUCCAGAGGAACACCAGUGGCGAAGGCGGCGAUCUGGACGAGUACUGACGCUGAGAUGCGAAAGCGUGGGGAGCAAACAGGAUUAGAAACCCUAGUAGUCC